UGGAUCCAGACUUUGAUUAUGGCUCAGGACGAACGCUGGCGGCGCGCCUAACACAUGCAAGUCGAACGAGCGAGAGAGAGUUUACUUUUUCGAGCGAGUGGCGAACGGGUGAGUAACGCGUGAGGAGCCUGCCUCAAAGAGGGGGACAACAGUUGGAAACGACUGCUAAUACCGCAUAAGCCCACGGUGCCGCAUGGCACAGAGGGAAAAGGAGCAAUCCGCUUUGAGAUGGCCUCGCGUCCGAUUAGCUAGUUGGUGAGGUAAUGGCCCACCAAGGCGACGAUCGGUAGCCGGACUGAGAGGUUGAACGGCCACAUUGGGACUGAGACACGGCCCAGACUCCUACGGGAGGCAGCAGUGGGGAAUAUUGCACAAUGGGGGAAACCCUGAUGCAGCGACGCCGCGUGGAGGAAGAAGGUCUUCGGAUUGUAAACUCCUGUUGUUGAGGAAGAUAAUGACGGUACUCAACAAGGAAGUGACGGCUAACUACGUGCCAGCAGCCGCGGUAAAACGUAGGUCACAAGCGUUGUCCGGAAUUACUGGGUGUAAAGGGAGCGCAGGCGGGAAGACAAGUUGGAAGUGAAAUCCAUGGGCUCAACCCAUGAACUGCUUUCAAAACUGUUUUUCUUGAGUAGUGCAGAGGUAGGCGGAAUUCCCGGUGUAGCGGUGGAAUGCGUAGAUAUCGGGAGGAACACCAGUGGCGAAGGCGGCCUACUGGGCACCAACUGACGCUGAGGCUCGAAAGUGUGGGUAGCAAACAGGAUUAGAUACCCUGGUAGUCCACACUGUAAACGAUGAUUACUAGGUGUUGGAGGAUUGACCCCUUCAGUGCCGCAGUUAACACAAUAAGUAAUCCACCUGGGGAGUACGACCGCAAGGUUGCAACUCAAAGGAAUUGACGGA
rnacentral:rRNA from 1 species